rnacentral:rRNA from 1 species
AUUGAACGCUGGCGGCAGGCCUAACACAUGCAAGUCGAGCGGAGCGGCGGACGGGUGAGUAAUGCCUAGGAAUCUGCCUGGUCGUGGGGGAUAACGUCCGGAAACGGGCGCUAAUACCGCAUACUAUCAGAUGAGCCUAGGUCGGAUUAGCUAGUUGGGGGGGUAAAGGCCUACCAAGGCGACGAUCCGUAACCGGUCUGAGAGGAUGAUCAGUCACACGGGAACUGGGACACUGUCCAGAGUCCUACGGGAGGCAGCAGUGGGGAAUAUGACACAAUGGGCGCAAGCCUGAUGCAGCCAUGCCGCGUGUAUGAAGAAGGCCUUCGGGUUGUAAAGUACUUUCAGUCGGGAGGCGUUACCGACAGAAGAAGCACCGGCUAACUCCGUGCCAGCAGCCGCGGUAAUAC